rnacentral:rRNA from 1 species
GUAGGGAAUAUUGGACAAUGGGUGCAAGCCUGAUCCAGCCAUGCCGCGUGCAGGAAGAAGGCCUUCUGGGUUGUAAACUGCUUUUGCCAGGGGAUAAAAAGCCCAUGCGUGGGAAAUUGAAGGUACCUGGUGAAUAAGCCACGGCUAACUACGUGCCAGCAGCCGCGGUAAUACGUAGGUGGCAAGCGUUGUCCGGAUUUAUUGGGUUUAAAGGGUGCGUAGGCGGUUCUAUAAGUCAGUGGUGAAAUCCGGCAGCUCAACUGUCGAUGUGCCAUUGAUACUGCAGAACUUGAGUACAGACGAGGUAGGCGGAAUUGACGGUGUAGCGGUGAAAUGCUUAGAUAUCGUCAAGAACACCGAUAGCGAAGGCAGCUUACUAGACUGUAACUGACGCUGAUGCACGAAAGUGUGGGGAUCAAACAGGAUUAGAAACCCCUGUAGUCC